GGGCCCGCCAGGAGGGGGACACCCCGGGGGGCAGGGGCUGGGGGCCAGGGCGCGGGGUGGGGGCGCGAGCCCGGCGACAGCGUCGUCCUUACCUGCCCCCAGGUUGAAGGAGAUCCUGGCUUCGGCGAGCCAGUCAACAUUUUAAUACUGAAGACCCUGCAUGUUGUAUCCAGAACUAGAGACAGAGAAAGAAAGGCAGCACAAGAGGGUGAUCAGAAAAAUAACAUUGCUAGCAUGGAAGAAGUGAAGGUGGGAAGAUAAGGAAGAAAGAGGAGUGCUCCUGAUUCCAUCCUAAUCAAGAAAACUCUUCAGAGCACUGAGUCACAAUACAUGGCAAAGCAGAUGCCUGCUGGGGGCAAAGGCACAAAAAAGGUUUGGAAGACUGCAUGCAGGUCCUGUUAUGAGCUACAUCUAAGACCAUGGCAUGAAGGUCUCAGGGGACAGACCAAAAGAAGGAAGACAACCAGGCAUCUGCUCCUAGCAGGACUCCUAGAAACCCCAUGGCCAGGCUUUCAGUGA
rnacentral:lncRNA from 1 species